rnacentral:rRNA from 1 species
UACGUAGGGCGCAAGCGUUGUCCGGAGUUACUGGGCGUAAAGGGUGCGCAGGCGGUGGCCCGCGUGGGCGGUGAAAGCUCCUGGCUCAACUGGGAGAGGGCCGUCCAGACGGGGUCACUUGAGAGGCGGAGAGGGGCGUGGAAUUCCGGGUGUAGCGGUGGAAUGCGUAGAGAUCCGGAAGAACACCGAUGGCGAAGGCAGGUCUCUGGGCAUUAACUGACGCUGAGGAGCGAAAAGCAUGGGGGAGCGAACAGG